CACAUUAAAGUUUAAUAUGGAAUUUUUCUGUUACAAUGAAAGGGCCUCAAUAAUUGUUGGGUGGUGUGAGAA
rnacentral:tRNA from 1 species